rfam:Loxodonta africana unplaced genomic scaffold scaffold_0, whole genome shotgun sequence.
GCAGUGGUGGUUCAGUGGUAGGAUUUUUGCCUUCUGUGCGGGAGACCUGGGUUCAAUUCCUAGCCAUUGCA